rnacentral:rRNA from 1 species
GCUUACGGCCAUACCAGCCUGGGUACGCCCGAUCUCGUCUGAUCUCGGAAGCUAAGCAGGGUAGGGCCUGGGUUAGUACUUGGAUGGGAGACCGCCUGGGAAUACCAGGUGCUGUAAGGA